UACGAAGGGGGGCUAGCGUUGUUCGGAAUUACUGGGCGUAAAGCGCACGUAGGCGGCUUUGUAAGUUAGAGGUGAAAGCCCCAGGGCUUAACCCUGGAAUUGCCUUUAAGACUGCAUCGCUCGAAUUGUGGAGAGGUGAGUGGAAUUCCGAGUGUAGAGGUGAAAUUCGUAGAUAUUCGGAAGAACACCAGUGGCGAAGGCGACUCACUGGACACAUAUUGACGCUGAGGUGCGAAAGCGUGGGGAGCAAACAGG
rnacentral:rRNA from 1 species